UAGCAUAUGCUUGUCUCAAAGAUUAAGCCAUGCAUGUCUAAGUAUAAACUUCUUUAUACUGUGAAACUGCGUACAGCUCAUUAUAUCAGUUAUAAUUUAUUUGAUGGUACUUUACUACAUGGAUAACCGUAGUAAUUCUAGAGCUAAUACAUGCGUAAAGUCCCGACUCGCGAGGGGAGGGAUGUAUUUAUUAGAUAAAAAACCAAUGCGCCCUCUGGGUGAUUUGUGGUGAAUCAUAAUAACUUUUCGAACCGCAUGGUCUCGUACCGGCGGUAGAUCAUUCAAAUUUCUGCCCUAUCAGCUUUCGACGGUAGUGUAGUGGACUACCGUGGCGUUAACGGGUGACGGAGAAUUAGGGUUCGAUUCCGGAGAGGGAGCCUGAGAAACGGCUACCACAUCCAAGGAAGGCAGCAGGCGGGUAAAUUACCCAAUCCUGACACAGGGAGGUAGUGACAAAAAAUAACAAUACCGGGCCUUUUUAGGUCUGGUAAUUGGAAUGAGUACAAUUUAAAUCCCUUAACGAGGAUCAACU
rnacentral:rRNA from 1 species